AGUGAACGCUGGCGGCAGGCCUAAUACAUGCAAGUCGAACGGCAGCACAGCAGAGCUUGCUCUGUGGGUGGCGAGUGGCGGACGGGUGAGGAAUACGUGGGAAUCUGCCCAGUCGUGGGGGAUAACGUAGGGAAACUUACGCUAAUACCGCAUGCGCCCUUCGGGGAAAGCCGGGGACCUUCGGGCCUGGCGCGAUUGGAUGAGCCCACGUCGGAUUAGCUAGUUGGCGGGGUAAAGGCCCACCAAGGCGACGAUCCGUAGCUGGUCUGAGAGGAUGAUCAGCCACACUGGAACUGAGACACGGUCCAGACUCCUACGGGAGGCAGCAGUAGGGAAUAUUGGACAAUGGGCGCAAGCCUGAUCCAGCCAUGCCGCGUGAGUGAAGAAGGACCCUCGGGUUGUAAAGCUCUUUUGUUCCGGAAAGAAAAGACGCCGGGUUAAUACCCUGGUGUCCUGACGGUACCGGAAGAAUAAAGCACCGGCUAACUUUACGUGCCAGCAGCCGC
rnacentral:rRNA from 1 species